rnacentral:misc_RNA from 1 species
UGUGGGAUCAAUUGGGUGCACUUGACCAUCAAAAGCAAGUAAUGCCGGUGGAAACACCCCUGGUUGCCAUAAUUCCAGUCCAGAUUUUAGACUAUGUUUCAACCAUUUAUGGUAAUUUGUUGUGACAUUGGCUCUCCUCCAAGUGUUAAGAUCAAAGACAUUCAUGCCAUAAAGCCAGGCACAACGUUCAGGAUCAAAAUUAGAUGAAAUUAUUGGGUGAGAAAAAUUCAAAAAAUCUUUAUAUCUUCGUCCUGGGCAGCAGUUUUCACCGCACCAUGAGUCAACAACAGCACCAACAACUUUCUUGUUGAGAUCCAAUUCCCACAAAGAUGAUAUGUCAUGUUGCACUACUACAUCAUCAUCCAAGAAAACUAUCUUGUUGAGAUCUGGAAACAGCUGUGCAGCCCAUGAAAGUCAAAUUGUAGAUCCAUCAUUAUUAAAUACUUCAUACAUUCAAC